UACGGGGGGGAGCAAACGUUGUUCGGAAUCACUGGGCGUAAAGGGCGUGUAGGGGCGUGGAUAAGUGGGGAUGUUAAAUCCCCCGGCUCAACCGGGGACCUGCAUCUCAUACUGUUCAGCUCGAGCACAUCAGAGGAGACUGGAAUUCCCGGUGUAGCGGUGAAAUGUGUAGAGAUCGGGAGGAACACCGGUGGCGAAGGCGGGUCUCUGGGCAUUACCUGACGCUGAGGAGCGAAAGUGUGGGGAGCGAACAGG
rnacentral:rRNA from 1 species